AACGAACGCUGGCGGCAUGCCUAAUACAUGCAAGUCGAACGAGAUCUUCGGAUCUAGUGGCGCACGGGUGCGUAACGCGUGGGAAUCUGCCCUUGGGUUCGGAAUAACUUCGGGAAACUGAAGCUAAUACCGGAUGAUGACGUAAGUCCAAAGAUUUAUCGCCCAGGGAUGAGCCCGCGUAGGAUUAGGUAGUUGGUGGGGUAAAGGCUCACCAAGCCGACGAUCCUUAGCUGGUCUGAGAGGAUGAUCAGCCACACUGGGACUGAGACACGGCCCAGACUCCUACGGGAGGCAGCAGUAGGGAAUAUUGGACAAUGGGGGAAACCCUGAUCCAGCAAUGCCGCGUGAGUGAUGAAGGCCUUAGGGUUGUAAAGCUCUUUUACCCGGGAUGAUAAUGACAGUACCGGGAGAAUAAGCUCCGGCUAACUCCGUGCCAGCCGCCGCCGUAAAAC
rnacentral:rRNA from 1 species